rnacentral:rRNA from 1 species
ACGUACACUCCUACGGGAGGCAGCAGUGGGGAAUAUUGGACAAUGGGCGCAAGCCUGAUCCAGCCAUGCCGCGUGAGUGAUGAAGGCCCUAGGGUUGUAAAGCUCUUUCACCGGUGAAGAUAAUGACGGUAACCGGAGAAGAAGCCCCGGCUAACUUCGUGCCAGCAGCCGCGGUAAUACGAAGGGGGCUAGCGUUGUUCGGAUUUACUGGGCGUAAAGCGCACGUAGGCGGACUAUUAAGUCAGGGGUGAAAUCCCGGGGCUCAACCCCGGAACUGCCUUUGAUACUGGUAGUCUUGAGUUCGAGAGAGGUGGGUGGAAUUCCGAGUGUAGAGGUGAAAUUCGUAGAUAUUCGGAGGAACACCAGUGGCGAAGGCGGCUCACUGGCUCGAUACUGACGCUGAGGUGCGAAAGCGUGGGGAGCAAACAGGAUUAGAUACCCCGGUAGUCCCA